CUCCCCAACCGUCCAGGUGCACCGAAUGCCACCCGUCGGCAUACACCUCCCGGUCUCCCUCCACAGCUCAUACCAACACAAACCGAGAUGUGCUCCGUGUGCCCCUUGUCUUUCUCCACCACUUCUCUUCAGAAGGUUCGUACUGAGAUGCCCUGUACAACACACACCGACAAUGCCAACAUCAGCCACAAACUCGAGUUCAUCGCUAGAUUUCGUCGCUCUCGGUGAUCAGCUCGUCGAUUCCUCGCACCAGGAGCCUCUUCCCGUUAUGGCCUACCUCCAGGACUUGGUGGUGCACCUUGUUGUGACUGUUUGUCGAGUCGCCGUGUUCCGCCGGCCACGGUGACGACGCUAUCGUUUCCGUCGGAUACCAUGCGAUUCAGGCCCUGGUUCAUUCUUCUUUCUUUUUCUCUAGACUCGUGUUCAUAUCUUCAUGCCUUCCCUUCUCUCGAUUCGCAGCCGGAGUGUCUCCCACGAUGACAACCUGAGGCGGCUUCCGCUCGUCGACGACACAAGCUGUAAAAUUUCUGCUACUUCAUGGACUAUGGAAGCCCUUCCUCGAUGUCUCCAUCAACUCUCAUACUUGCAUCGCCGUCUUCAACAUCACCAUCGACAAGGUGCGGCAGCAUCGAUGUUUUGAAAGACGAAUGAGUUACGAUGAUUAGGGUUACGAGUCUAUCCUCAACAUGCUCGCCUGUGGCACAUGAAGACGAAGGACUCCAUGCUGUCUAUGUUUAUUCGUUCUGAAACUCUGGUGAUAUGCUAGCCUUGAGCUAUGUAAUUUGUAAUCCUUUAUGUAAAUUCUGGAUCAUGCGAUGUAAUAAAGACCUUUGUUUCUUGGUA